rnacentral:tRNA from 2 species
UUGUCGGUGGCUGAGUAAAUAAGCGAUAGACUGUAGAUCUAUUAACGGAGUUAAUUCUUCCUGACAAA